rnacentral:lncRNA from 1 species
CCCUCACUGAGGACCUUGGUCCUGACACACUGGGCUGUCACCUGGGAGGUGAGGGCACACUUUCUGACCUCCAAUCACUGAGCACCUAGGCCCUUACACACUGGGCUGUCUCUUGGGAGGUGAGGGCACACUCUCUGACCUCCCCUCACUGAGGACCUUGGUCCUGACACACUUAUCUGACACCUGGGAGGUUAGGGCACACUCUCUGACCUCCCCCCACUGAGGACGUUGGUCCUGACACACUAGG